rnacentral:miRNA from 1 species
CUGGGUAGAGGUUGGGCGGUGGA